CAGCUGAAGGUGAAAGAGCUGUGUGGAUGCCUUUAAAGGUAUUUUCUCAGCCUGUAUGCGAGUUUGGGACAUAAUAUCCCCAAAGAAGACGCAGAGCAGGAGGAAGAAGACGAGGAGAUGGCAGCUUCUCAGGGACAGUUGACAUUCCGGGAUGUGGCCAUAGACUUCACUCAAGAGGAGUGGGAAUGCCUGGGCCUCGGUCAGCGGGCAUUUACACAGACGUGAUGUUAGGGAACUACGGGAACCUGGCCUCCUUGGGACUUGUAGUCUCUGGGCUGAAUCUGGUCACCCUUCUGGAGCAACUGAACAAUCCCAGGAGUAUAAGGAGAGUGGAGACAGCAGCCAUACACCCAGCUAUCUCUCCAUAAGACACCAGGAUUUGAUGCCAAAGAAACCAAGGAUAGAAGAUUUGUUUCCAGAAGCAAACCUAGAAAUAUACGAAAGAUUUCACCUCAGAAACUUUAAUUUAAUAAAACACUGGGAAUAUACAAGGGCAUAUAAAGACAGAGAAAUUGUUUAUAUGGACAUAAAGAAAUUGAGACAGUUACACAUAAUGCUAACAAUAAUGCAAAAAGAAAAGAGCAACAUGAGUCAAAUUGGGGAAGACACCAAUUUCAGUCUUCAACAUCUGCUGAGAAGUGUUAGUUUUUA